rnacentral:rRNA from 1 species
CCUACGGGAGGCUGCAGUGGGGAAUAUUGGACAAUGGGGGGAACCCUGAUCCAGCCAUGCCGCGUGUGUGAAGAAGGCCCUCGGGUUGUAAAGCACUUUCAGUGAGGAAGAACGCCUGGUGGUUAAUACCCAUCAGGAAAGACAUCACUCACAGAAGAAGCACCGGCUAACUCCGUGCCAGCAGCCGCGGUAAUACGGAGGGUGCGAGCGUUAAUCGGAAUUACUGAGCGUAAAGCGCGCGUAGGUGGCUUGAUAAGCCGGUUGUGAAAGCCCCGGGCUCAACCUGGGAACGGCAUCCGGAACUGUCAAGCUAGAGUGCAGGAGAGGAAGGUAGAAUUCCCGGUGUAGCGGUGAAAUGCGUAGAGAUCGGGAGGAAUACCAGUGGCGAAGGCGGCCUUCUGGACUGACACUGACACUGAGGUGCGAAAGCGUGGGUAGCAAACAGGAUUAGAUACCCUAGUAGUC